AAUGAACGUUGGCGGCGUGGAUUAGGCAUGCAAGUCGUACGGGCCGCAAGGCCAGUGGCGCAAGGGUGAGUAAUGCGACGGUAACCAACCCCAGGAAUGGGUAUAGCCGCGGGAAACUGCGGGUAAUCCCCAGCGACGUGCGGGAUCGGCAUCGAUCCUUCACCAAAGCUCCGGCGUCCUGGGACGGGCCGUUGUGGUAUUAGCUAGUUGGCGGGGUAACGGCCCACCAAGGCUUCGAUGCCUACCGGGCGUGCGAGCGUGGCCCGGCACACUGGGACUGAGACACUGCCCAGACUCCUACGGGAGGCUGCAGUCGAGAAUCUUCGGCAAUGGGCGCAAGCCUGACCGAGCGACGCCGCGUGGAGGAUGACGGUUUUCGGAUUGUAAACUCCUUUUCUCAGGGAAGAGCGAGGACGGUACCUGGGGAAUAAGUCACGGCUAACUACGUG
rnacentral:rRNA from 1 species